rnacentral:rRNA from 1 species
CGGACGGGUGAGUAACGCGUGGGUAACCUGCCCUGUACAGGGGGAUAACAGCUGGAAACGGCUGCUAAUACCGCAUAAGCGCACGAGGAGACAUCUCCUUGUGUGAAAAACUCCGGUGAUACAGGAUGGGCCCGCGUCUGAUUAGCUGGUUGGCAGGGUAACGGCCUACCAAGGCAACGAUCAGUAGCCGGUCUGAGAGGAUGAACGGCCACAUUGGAACUGAGACACGGUCCAAACUCCUACGGGAGGCAGCAUG